GGGGGGGGCUCUGUGACGCGGGCGCGCGCGCAACACAGGAAGUGACGCCUUCCCCUCCCUCCGCCUCCUCCCCCCCUCUCCACGCCCGAACUCCCCUCAACGGCCUCGCGCGCGUGCUCAGUUAACGGCUCUUUGAGGGGGCAAAGCCAAAGGGAGUCGCCGGAUUGAGCCGUUAGGGGUGAGGGGAGGAGUCUCCGGAUUGCGCGCGCAAUUUCCCCCUCGACCAUGAAGUUGGGAGGACCGAACGAUAGAACGGCCUCAUUUAAAAAAAAAAGCCUUUUGGCGUCCAUUUUGAAUAGGCGCCAAACUGAGGAAGGGUGAAGAAGAGCAAGCGGUGGGGAGACGUUGCUAGGCUGGGGCGAGAUGAGGUCGCUCUGACUGGAAGCCCCGAAGCCACCUGUCUAGGGGUAGGUGGUGAAAGGAGGACAUGUCUAGUCAGGCUGGUAGACUCCCGGAAUAGCUGAAUAAUGUUUACAUGUCUGAAUUGUGUGCUCACCGGAGGAAGACUUAAAUGACCUCAGCAGCAAGAGCUUGCUAUUUGAAUGAUGGCAGAGAAAGAGAGAGAGAGAGAGAGAGUCAUAUCCUUGCAACAGAAGCACUAGCAUGUGGGAAAAACAACAAAUCAGCAUUUCUGAGUGGCAGGAUUACAAUCUGGGAACAGUGCUAAUUGUAAAUCUCUGGCUGCAUGUGGCUCCAUAUGGAGAAGGGAGAGAAAAAGGUAGCCACAAUUAAGCCAUGGGAGUUUGCAAGAUCCAUGGAAUGCACUGGGAUGUUGACAAGGCAGGCGGGAGCUUUGCCCCGGGAAAAGGUCCAGGCAUCACAAGAGGGAGCAGUUUCAACCCCUUCCAUCUCCAGAUCAGACAGAAGGAAAGCCUCCUCCUCGAGGCAUCAAGAGAUGCCUGGCUGGGAGAAAACAGACAGGGAACAGCUGAAGGAGAGUCUUGCCAAGAAGCAGCUUGUGAAGGAGCCAGGGUAACAGGAGAGCUUGCAACGCUACACUUUUAAUUAAGGUUUUGCACCAGAGGCCAAACUUGAGGCCAGUGGAACCAAGUGGUUCUGGAGAGAAGCUGACAAGCAUCAAAAGCAGACGAACCCGUCCAGUAUCUAUUUUCCAAGCCCAGUGACGUGGAAAAAGUAAUUUAUUAGCAGCAGUAGUGAAAAUGGUUUAAUGAUAAUUCUUCGUUGGCUUACUGGAGGAGGAGUUUGGGUGUCUGAAAGAACCCAGUGAUCAGGUGCAAGCAAUCCGGGAGAAGAAACAGCAACCCACCCAUGUGCUUAAAUCCAGCUUUACGAAAGGUCUGUUGGACUCUGAAACUAAGAAUCUUAACCCCACUUCCCAUCCUCUUUCCUUCCCAUCCAUUUUCCUUUUGUGUUGCAUCUUUCAGACUGGAAAUCUGUGAUCAGGGAUUUUUUUUCCCUUUCUCAGAUUUGUAAAAUGCUCCAAAAUGUCUUAAAUGAAUAAAUGCCUUCUCUUGUCAUGCUCCAACUGUUGGCAGGAUACAGGUUUGGUGUGACCGAGAUCUUACAUCAUCUUACUCUCCCUUUUUGAAGAAAAAAACAAAAUCUAGAAUCUCCUCACCUUCCAGCAUAUUUUAAAUGAAUGAAGUCAUAAAAGAUGUUAGCUGUCCUUGGCGAUACGGAAACUCUUUCUUAAGGGAAGAGCCUUCCGGGAUCAUCUCAAGGUCCACCUAAUCUGACGUGAUUUACAAAGAUCCAGAGACCAGCAGCACAGCUGAUGCUUUCAUGCUCUCCUGACACGCGCUCUCUGCUGAACCCCACGUUUUGAGUUUCCGGUGACAUUUACAGACAUCCAGAACAGUUUUAUUGUUACAGACUUUUUCCUAAAUAUAUCUCUGAGGGACAUCCAAGCACUGUUUACACAGGGUUCUGUGGAGGCCCCAAAUUAUUUUGGAAACUGGGUCUGUGGACUGUUGGUGCUUUAGCAUUACACCAAAGUGCAAGAGGCAAAAUUUCCCUUUUGCUGCAUUAGAUGAACCCCCUGAGUGUUUCCAGGGGGUAGCCACAUUAAUCUGUCAAAAGCCUGAACAGCCAAGAACCUUACUGCCCUUUCAACGCUAACGAGUUUUAUUUGGCCAAAGUUCUGGUGGGCUGUUGCCCAUUUCAUCACGAGUAUCUGCUGAAGCAGGCUGCCGCCGCCCAUCAAACCUUCUGCCAGACAAAACUUACUAGUCUUUCUAAUGUGAUAAGAGUCUUUCUUUUCAGUUGUUGCUUUCUUUUUUCCCCCAAUACAACAGUGGGACAGGAUUUUGAAGACGGUCUGUUUGGGGCAAGAGGGGAGGGGAGACCCUAGGUCAAUGGCAGGGACUCUGCUUUCUACACAGAAGGCUUGAAGUUCAGGCCUCCACAUUUCCAGCUGGAGGAUCAGGACUCAACAGGAAGGAUGGGAAAGUGGGCAGUGAUCCUAAAAAGCCACUGCCAAUGAAGUCUGGGGACUGCCAAGUCAGCGGGGUGAUAAAUCUGCUCCAGAUUUAAAUCCAAAGUUUGAAGGAACUAUGUGAACUGCCCAGCCUAUUUUGGGAAGCCAUGUUCAGCACCCUGGAGAGCUCUUUGAAAGUUGAGAUGUACCUCCAUCAGAUAUGAACUGCUCCACUAGUACCAACCAGAGCCACAGACUUCUGCUGGCUGCUGCUGGUCAGAGCUGACAAUAUUAGCUUAGAUGGGUAGUUGUGGAGGAAAGCUUGCAAUGAAAAAAUGCUUCCUACCUGGCACCAGAGCUAUUUAGAAUGGCUGAAACAUCCUCCCUCUUGAACUUGAAGGACUAAGUGAGUCCAUCAUUUGCCCGUUUGCCUUGUUUUUCUCUGUGUGUGUUUUAACUGGGGGAGGGGGGGAGAAACUGCUGAUAACAGAUACAGUGGCCAUAUCCUUCUUUGUCUGGGUGUGGGCUGAAAGCAAAAGCCUUCUCUGUUUAUCUCAGAAGGGCACUAUCAAGACGAGCAGGAAGAAAUUAGACAGUGGAAGACAAAAAUAUAUUCAAAGGGUAGAAUUAUGUAUGCAUAAUUGCGCUGCUCUCUGGGGUGCCUGGAUGAACACAUGCCUUCACUUUGGGAAGUCUCUUUCCCCGAACCAACUUAUUCUAAUGAAGCGAAGGGGAAGCUGCCCGGAGGACUGCAGAG